UACGUAGGUGGCAAGCGUUGUCCGGAAUCACUGGGCGUAAAGGGCGCGUAGGCGGCCUGAUAAGUAGGGGGUGAAAUCCUGCGGCUUAACCGCAGGGCUGCCUUCUAAACUGUCAGGCUAGAGCACAGUAGAGGCAGGUGGAAUUCCCGGUGUAGCGGUGGAAUGCGUAGAGAUCGGGAAGAACAUCAGUGGCGAAGGCGGCCUGCUGGGCUGUUGCUGACGCUGAGGCGCGACAGCGUGGGGGAGCAAACAGG
rnacentral:rRNA from 1 species